UACGUAGGGGGCAAGCGUUGUCCGGAUUUAUUGGGCGUAAAGAGCGUGUAGGCGGCCAUGUAGGUCCGUUGUGAAAACUCGAGGCUCAACCUCGAGACGCCGAUGGAAACCAUGUGGCUAGAGUCCGGAAGAGGAGAAUGGAAUUCCUGGUGUAGCGGUGAAAUGCGCAGAUAUCAGGAAGAACACCCGUGGCGAAGGCGGCUCUCUGGGACGGUACUGACGCUGAGACGCGAAAGCGUGGGGAGCGAACAGG
rnacentral:rRNA from 1 species